UACGUAUGUCGCAAGCGUUAUCCGGAAUUAUUGGGCGUAAAGCGCGUCUAGGCGGCCUUUUAAGUCUGAUGUGAAAAUGCGGGGCUCAACUCCGUAUUGCGUUGGAAACUGGAAGGCUAGAGUAUCAGAGAGGUGGGCGGAACUACAAGUGUAGAGGUGAAAUUCGUAGAUAUUUGUAGGAAUGCCGAUGGGGAAGCCAGCUCACUGGAUGAAUACUGACGCUAAAGCGCGAAAGCGUGGGGAGCAAACGGGAUUAGAUACCCGCGUAGU
rnacentral:rRNA from 1 species